GACGAACGCUGGCGGCGUGCUUAACACAUGCAAGUCGAACGGAAAGGCCCUGCUUUUGUGGGGUGCUCGAGUGGCGAAAGGGUGAGUAACACGUGAGUAACCUGCCCUUUACUUUGGGAUAUCUUCAGGAAACUCGGGCUAAUACCCGAUAUGAUCUCCUGCUGCAUGGUGGGGGUUGGAAAGUUUCGGCGGUUGGGGAUGGACUCGCGGCUAACCAGCUUGUUGGUGAGGUAGUGGCUUACCAAAGCUUUGACGAGUAGCCGGCCUGGGAGGGUGACCGGCCACAUUGGGACUGAGAAACGGCCCAGACGCCUACGGGAGGCAAAAGUAGGAAAAAUUGCAAAAUGGGCGAAAGCCUGAUGCGGAAACGCCGCGUGCGGAAUGACGGCCUUCGGGUUGUAAACCGCUUUCGCCUGUGACGAAGCGUGAGUGAAGGUAAUGGGUAAAGAAGCACCGGCUAACUACGUG
rnacentral:rRNA from 1 species